CAUGGCCAGUCAGUCUCAGGGGAUCCAGUAGCUGCUGCAGGUUGCUGAAAAGGGUGUCUGAGACCUGCAGUGAAAGAACCGGAGGGAGAAGCAGGCCAAAGCAGCAGUUCAAGGUGAAAUUGAACAAUAUUGCCUGCAGAGGGAGAAAGAGUUCAAGGCCAAGGAGGCUGCUGCCCUGCGAUCCCAAGGCAGCUGCAGCAUUAAAGUAGAGGAGACCCAGGAGAAGAGAACCAUCUGGAAGCAGUUUAGGCAGAAGAGGGGUGAAGUCUUGGCCUUUUUCUGCAAUAUCUGGUAGUCCAUUCCUGCUAGUGGUUAGAACAAUGAACACUAGUAU
rnacentral:lncRNA from 1 species